AUCGUCAUCUCAACUCUUCGACAUCUCAUCUCUUCGUCAGGCUAUGAAACUCUUCGAACCUCAUCUCUUAGUCUUUUCUCCUUCUUGAACGUAUGGAUCAAACCAUUCAUGAGUGUGCAGUGAAUCCUCUAGAGAUCUCAUUAAUGGGUUCCUUUCGCCUAUCUUUCUCUGAGUUUCUUUAUAACCAUCAUAUUUUCCCCACAUUUCUUACACACAAACUCUUUCAAGCCAUGAAUUCUAACAGCAAAUCUUCAGUUUCCGGCUAUCUUAUCUUGAAGAAACCAACCGGAAAUUUCUCUUAAAACUGGUCCGAUUCAAGCUCUAAACUGCCUCUUGACGGCCACCGUUGCUAUUAGGUACGAUUCGCUGAUAUUUCCAAAACUUUAAACCCCAUCCCAACAGAGAUCACUGUACCGCUUCUCAUCUUUAGGUCGCUAUUGGCAGAGUGUUGUAAGACUCCUUUGAUUCUGAAAAGCUCGGUCUUGAUCUGUUACGGGUCCAUGGCAAGGUAGCCAGGCUUACAGUUUCCUUAUCAGCUCGAAGCUGAAUACGCUGUUAACGAAUCCAAACGAUCCAUCUUCUUCCCCAAAACAGUCGGGUCUGAUUAGGAUUUGCUCUCUUCCGAUGAACAACGGGUCAGACGAGUCCUGAGCCAAGAACCCGUAGAGAGAUUUCUAUGCCAAGUCAGCAACCAUCUCGGCUUCGGAGCAGCUCAAGACCUCUGCUAUUGAUUGAUCCACAAAAGAAGCAGCAUUAUGGGAUUGACCUUAAUAUUCACACACCUCAUGUUGAGAUGCAUGAGAAGCCUUCUUUUCUCGAAGCUGAAUAGCCACGAGCUAUCACCGAGUUAUGCAGUUUAAAUCAUAUUGAAGAAGCUGCUGUUCUCUGUAUGGAGAUUAUGUUUUGCGUCUAUCUCAGCACCACAAUGUCAAAGAAGUCACUGAAUGGUGUCUAAGGCAAGUGGAAUACCAAUUUCAGAGAUUCGUCAGCACAGUUUCUUGCUGUAUAACGAAGUUACGCAACACACACCGUCACAGGCUCACAGCAGUCAAGGGAAUGCUUACCAUAAUUUUUUUAAUAAUUGUGCUCUCAUUUGUCCUUUAGAGAUUAGCUAUGAUAUCUAGGCGCAACACAAGAUCUUUUCACUUCUCAAUCUGACGGUAUACUGUUUUGAUAAAUGAAUUGUUGCUAAGUGGGUUUGGUUUCCCUAAUAUUUUAGAGAGCUCAAAGAAAUAUUGAGGCUGGUCAAGAAAUACAGACAAUCCAGUGGAUUAUGGCGAACAUACGGAUUGACAGAGUAUUUGGAGUCGGCUUUUCUGGGCUUAGAUUGUGGAUGGAAUCACUUUGCUUUGAAGUAUAUGGUACAAGUUGAAUCUAUGUAUUUGAUCUUACAGAAGUGAAACCCAUUGUACGAUACAGUUUGGCGUCUUUGCAGAGAAACGAGAUGAAUGUGCAAGAGAGUACAGAGAAAGGAUGCAGUUUAUGGUGGCAGUUGGUGAUGUCCAGUUGGUUGGGUUCUUGGUUGUCUCGAUACAACUUGGCUCUAAAAAAUCUUCAAUCCAAAUUGUAACAAGAAACAUCUAGAUUCUACCAGAGACGAGCCAGGUUUUGAUUUGUCUACACUUGAUCGAUAUGGAGAAACUUCUUGGACAAUAAUUUGUAGCUAUUUUUUCUCUGAUUGACAUGGUUUUAAUAUCUCCAUUUGCUUAAAAUGCAGUAAGAUAUAUUCGUUGGUA